rnacentral:rRNA from 1 species
UACGUAGGGUGCAAGCGUUAAUCGGAAUUACUGGGCGUAAAGCGUGCGCAGGCGGUUUUGUAAGUCUGACGUGAAAUCCCCGGGCUCAACCUGGGAAUUGCGUUGGAGACUGCAAGGCUAGAAUCUGGCAGAGGGGGGUAGAAUUCCACGUGUAGCAGUGAAAUGCGUAGAGAUGUGGAGGAACACCGAUGGCGAAGGCAGCCCCCUGGGUCAGCACUGACGCUCAUGCACGAAAGCGUGGGGAGCAAACAGG